rnacentral:tRNA from 1 species
UAAGGAAGUCAUUGGCGUUAGAUUGUAAAUCUUUGGAUGAAGAAAUUCUCUUACUAAG